UAAACGAUGUCGACUUGGAGGUUGUGGCUUCCGGAGCUAACGCGUUAAGUCGACCGCUGGGGAGUACGGCCGCAAGGUUAAAACUCAAAUGAAUUGACGGGGGCCCGCACAAGCGGUGGAGCAUGUGGUUUAAUUCGAUGCAACGCGAAGAACCUUACCUGGUCUUGACAUCCAGGUGCUGCAUGGCUGUCGUCAGCUCGUGUUGUGAAAUGUUGGGUUAAGUCCCGCAACGAGCGCAACCCUUAUCCUUUGUUGCAACUCAAAGGAGACUGCCAGUGAUAAACUGGAGGAAGGUGGGGAUGACGUCAAGUCAUCAUGGCCCUUACGACCAGGGCUACACACGUGCUACAAUGGCGCAUACAAAGAGAAGCGACCUCGCGAGAGCAAGCGGACCUCAUAAAGUGCGUCGUAGUCCGGAUUGGAGUCUGCAACUCGACUCCAUGAAGUCGGAAUCGCUAGUAAUCGUGGAUCAGAUGCCACGGUGAAUACGUUCCCGGGCCUUGUACACACCGCCCGUCACACCAUGGGAGUGGGUUGCAAAAGAAGUAGGUUACCACU
rnacentral:rRNA from 1 species